rnacentral:rRNA from 1 species
GGUUAAGUCCCGCAACGAGCGCAACCCUCGACCUUAGUUGCCAGCAUUCAGUUGGGCACUCUAAGGUGACUGCCGGCUAAAGUCGGAGGAAGGUGGGGAUGACGUCAAAUCAUCAUGCCCCUUAUGACCUGGGCUACACACGUGCUACAAUGGGCGGUACAAAGGGUCGCGAACCCGCGAGGGGAGCCAAUCCCAAAAAGCCGCUCUCAGUUCGGAUUGCAGGCUGCAACUCGCCUGCAUGAAGCCGGAAUCGCUAGUAAUCGCGGAUCAGCAUGCCGCGGUGAAUACGUUCCCGGGCCUU